UACGUAGGGUGCGAGCGUUAAUCGGAAUACUGGGCGUAAAGCGUGCGCAGGCGGUUUGCUAAGACCGAUGUGAAAUCCCCGGGCUUAACCUGGGAACUGCAUUGGUGACUGGCAGGCUAGAGUAUGGCAGAGGGGGGGUAGAAUUCCACGUGUAGCAGUGAAAUGCGUAGAGAUGUGGAGGAAUACCGAUGGCGAAGGCAGCCCCCUGGGCCAAUACUGACGCUCAUGC
rnacentral:rRNA from 1 species